rnacentral:tRNA from 1 species
GUAACUUAGUGUUACGGGCAGUGGCGAAAGCUACGGGAGAAUGAAAAUCCGUUGACCGUAAAAGGUCGUGAGGGUUCAAGUCCCUCCACCCCCA